rnacentral:rRNA from 1 species
CCUACGGGGGGCAGCAGUGAGGAAUAUUGGUCAAUGGACGAGAGUCUGAACCAGCCAAGUAGCGUGAAGGAUGACUGCCCUAUGGGUUGUAAACUUCUUUUAUAUGGGAAUAAAACGUUCCACGUGUGGGAUUUUGUAUGUACCAUAUGAAUAAGGAUCGGCUAACUCCGUGCCAGCAGCCGCGGUAAUACGGAGGAUCCGAGCGUUAUCCGGAUUUAUUGGGUUUAAAGGGAGCGUAGGUGGAUUGUUAAGUCAGUUGUGAAAGUUUGCGGCGCAACCGUAAAAUUGCAGUUGAAACUGGCAGUCUUGAGUACAGUAGAGGUGGGCGGAAUUCGUGGUGUAGCGGUGAAAUGCUUAGAUAUCACGAAGAACUCCGAUUGCGAAGGCAGUUCACUGGACUGCAACUGACACUGAGGCUCGAAAGUGUGGGUAUCAAACAGGAUUAGAUACCCUUGUAGUC